UAACAGUUAUCCCUAAUUCUGUUUUUAUGGUUUAAUUUCAAUAGAUGAGGGGUAAAAAUAAAAUAAAAAUUAAUGAUUUGGGGUUUAGGGUAUUGUGAAUUAGGGAUCAUAUAUGUUAGGAUCGCAUAAUUAUGAAUACUGCCAAAAUACAUUAUAUCAGACUUUAUGUAUAUAUAUUACAUGUCAAUUUGAAAAUCUUGUAUGUUAUUAGAUGGUGUAAGUUUUAAUACGUAA
rnacentral:lncRNA from 1 species